CUGAGUCAUUUUUCCUUUCUAAAAUAAGCUGUCACCCCAUCAGUCUCUCUUAUGGACUUGUCAAUUCGUUACGCCUUCAUGUGAUCAUAUUAGUAAAUAGGGACAACUUCAUUCAUUAAUAAUUAUUCAGGAACAAUUCAGAACAUGAAAAAGUAACAUGAGACAGAACAAGUUUAUUUUCUUUUCAUAAAGUUGUUAUUCCCCUAUCCAUUCAUUUAUCUUUGUUGCAUUGAUAUGUGGUUUUCCUUCCAAUUUCGUAUUCAGCACGUGCCUCAAAUACUCUCCAUACGUGGUGUCCUUGUACAUCUUGGG
rnacentral:lncRNA from 1 species